rnacentral:rRNA from 1 species
GACGAAGGGGGCUAGCGUUGUUCGGAAUUACUGGGCGUAAAGCGCGUGUAGGCGGUUGUUCAAGUCAGGUGUGAAAGCCUUGAGCUCAACUCAAGAAAUGCACUUGAUACUGGAUGACUGGAGGACCGGAGAGGAUAGUGGAAUUCCCAGUGUAGUGGUGAAAUACGUAGAGAUUGGGAAGAACACCAGUGGCGAAGGCGGCUAUCUGGACGGUUUCUGACGCUAAGGCGCGAAAGCGUGGGGAGCGAACAGG